rnacentral:misc_RNA from 1 species
GAUGAAGAACGCAGCGAAAUGCGAUACUUGGUGUGAAUUGCAGAAUCCCGUGAACCAUCAAGUCUUUGAACGCAAGUUGCGCCCGAAGCCAUUAGGCCGAGGGCACGCCUGCCUGGGCGUCACACGUCGUUGCCCCCCCAUCUAAUCCUUCGGGAUUGCGGGGGGCGGAUGAUGGCCUCCCGUGCGCCUCGUCGCGCGGUUGGCAUAAAUGCCAAGUCCUCGGCGACGCACGCCACGACAAUCGGUGGUUGCGAAACCUCGGUUGCCCGUUGUGUGCGGUCGUCGCGCAUCGAGGGCUCGAAAAAAUUGCCGGGCUCCGGCUCGACUUUCAACGCGACCCCAGGUCAGGCGGGGUUACCCGCUGAAUUUAAGCAUAUCAAUAAGCGGAGGA